GUCUAUGGCCAUACCAUCCUGAAUGCACCCAAUCUCAUCUGAUCUCAGAAGCUAAGCAGGGUCAGGCCUGGUUAGUACUUGGAUGGGAGACCACCUGAGAAUACGGGGUGCUGUAGGUA
ensembl:rRNA 5S_rRNA 5S ribosomal RNA